GGGAGUGUAGCUCAGCGGUAGAGCAUGGCUUACACAGGCCAAGGCCGGCAGUUCGAAUCUGCUCACUCCUG
rnacentral:tRNA from 1 species